AGCCCAGCGUGGGAUGACCGUGCCCCGAAAACAUGCCAGUGAAUGGAAAGAAGCCAAGGUCCCCUCCCUCCCUGCUUAUACCCUCAACUUUGCCAAUGAGGACCCUAAAUACCAGCUGCACUACAGGGGAUGUAACUACAUACACCGUCACCAAAGUUGCAGCCUGGCCAAGAAAUGCCAGGGGACGUCGCGGCGAUUGCAGACUCCGCGGUGACUGUGUAGAUACGUCCAGAAUUCGCCCUUGUAGCGCGGGGAGAGGCGAGAGUGAAGGCCUAGAAAAGCUGGAGUGCAAUGGCGCCAUCUCAGCUCACUGCAACCUCUGCCUCCCGGGUUCAAGCGAUUCUCCUGCCUCAGCCUCCGGAGUAGCUGGGAUUACAGAAAGAAGAAUAAAUGGGACAUUACACAAGUUCCUUUAAAGAUUCUUCACGUUGAUAUAAGGAGCCUGCUUCCUCAUUGCCAUUUGGGUGCAGAGUUCUUCCUGUCAGCCCACUCAUCAUGCUCAUCAUACCUUGCUGCCAGGCCUCUCUAUGCUGAUGACUCGAGGAAAACACGCUCCUCUGGUUGCAAAGAAGGCAUUGUUUCUAAAGGCACCUGUCUCAGAGCUCUAGAUGGAUUAUGACCCACGGCGGUCAUUGGACUGUAAACCUGACACAGGUUUAACCUUCUGAUGGAGCUUGGUUUUUGUCCUAGAAAAACUAUAAAGAGAAAAACAGCGGCACAUAAAGAACAGUAUAUGGUGUAAAGAGAAGCGGGAGUCCUGGGUCGAUGUUAGAAGACAUGAAUGCAAAUCCCUGGCUGGCUAUUAACUUAGUUU
ensembl:lncRNA novel transcript, antisense to NUDT4